rnacentral:rRNA from 1 species
AGAUGCGAUCAUACCAGCACUAACGCUCCGUAUCCCAUCAAAACUCCGAAGUUAAGCAUGCUUGGGCGAGAGUAGUACCAGGAUGGGUGACCCCCUGGGAAGUCCUCGUGUUGCAUCCC